GUCGAGCGGUAGCACAGAGAGCUUGCUCUCGGGUGACGAGCGGCGGACGGGUGAGUAAUGUCUGGGAAACUGCCUGAUGGAGGGGGAUAACUACUGGAAACGGUAGCUAAUACCGCAUAAUGUCGCAAGACCAAAGUGGGGGACCUUCGGGCCUCAUGCCAUCAGAUGUGCCCAGAUGGGAUUAGCUAGUAGGUGGGGUAACGGCUCACCUAGGCGACGAUCCCUAGCUGGUCUGAGAGGAUGACCAGCCACACUGGAACUGAGACACGGUCCAGACUCCUACGGGAGGCAGCAGUGGGGAAUAUUGCACAAUGGGCGCAAGCCUGAUGCAGCCAUGCCGCGUGUGUGAAGAAGGCCUUCGGGUUGUAAAGCACUUUCAGCGGGGAGGAAGGCGUUGAGGUUAAUAACCUUAUCGAUUGACGUUACCCGCAGAAGAAGCACCGGCUAACUCCGUGCCAGCAGCCGCGGUAAUACGGAGGGUGCAAGCGUUAAUCGGAAUUACUGGGCGUAAAGCGCACGCAGGCGGUCUGUCAAGUCGGAUGUGAAAUCCCCGGGCUCAACCUGGGAACUGCAUUCGAAACUGGCAGGCUAGAGUCUUGUAGAGGGGGGUAGAAUUCCAGGUGUAGCGGUGAAAUGCGUAGAGAUCUGGAGGAAUACCGGUGGCGAAGGCGGCCCCCUGGACAAAGACUGACGCUCAGGUGCG
rnacentral:rRNA from 1 species